UUUCCGUAGGUGAACCUGCGGAAGGAUCAUUACCGGUUGCGCGCGGUCGCUCUCUUCGAGCGCCGUUUCGUGCAGACCCUUGCCUAUUCGCACCUCCUGUUAUCCCCUCGGCGGGGAGACCCGCCGACGGGGCCCAUCCAAACCCCCUUGCACGCAGCGAUCCCAAUCUGAAUUGAACCGAAACGUCACAACUUUCAACAAUGGAUCUCUUGGUUCCG
rnacentral:misc_RNA from 1 species